AAAGUUUGCUAUACUUGGACAGUUGCGUUUUUUCUCUAUUUUCAGUUUAGUCAGGAUUCUGGGACGCUUUCCUCUAAAAUCGGAUAUUGGGUUUAGCCUGAAACAGUCAUCGUAUUCCAAAAUUAUCAAUUAUGAAAUUAUCGCACAUGUUCCCGGAAUGUAGCUCGUGUUUUAGUCAUUUUUAAAUAAUCAGAAUUUUGAGCUAAUCUCCGGGUUUCAAUCUUGGAAUCAGGCGCCCAACAAAAAAAAAGAAACCAAUAAAUGGAGAGAUAUUGUGGAAGUUCUUCCAUUAUGCAAUUGGAUCCCAUCAUUGCUUUAUUUAUUUGCACUUCAACAUUAAUAGUGAUAAGGAAGGAACUGUAAUCAGUACCCGGGCAUAGCAUUUUUCUUAUUUUUAUUAAACGUUCAUACCGUGAAAAUAAAACAAACUUACGAAUGAACUUUCGUUUAAUAUCAAAAGGCCAAGCUAAUUGCGCCUUACGGUAAAUCCGAAUUAUUGUUAUCAGAGAAUCGGAUUUGUUUGGAUUAGUGUCAUAAUGAAUGUUAGUCUACUUUAACUAGAAGUACUAACGGUAUAUAGGAACAAACGUAGUUCUAUCGUGAAGCUACCAUUAAACUGCAUAGCAUACAUUCUACCGAUCUGUAAAAUUGCAAACAGAUUUCGGGUUAUGGGCAACAGCAGCCUUGUCCGUACUCCAUUUGAAAAUUCUUCAAAUUUGAGCUACUUUCUAUGUAUAUGUAUAUCGAAUUGCCUACCUCGGAUAGUUUUCAAAUUGCCUUUACUUGCAAACUUAAAUUAAAUGACUACACCACUGUAGAGGCCGAAAUACAAAUCAAAUUUUUUUUUGUUUUUUUAUUUCUAAAAAAAAAAAAAUAAAUAAAUAAAAAUGUGGUUAUUGUUCAAAGCAAAAUAGGGACUUCUUAGUGUUUUCGCACAUCAUAGCUGGCACGCAGGCAUAGGCCGGACUGAUAACCGCAAAAUUUUAAGGAUACAGUGCUGAAACAAAAAGAAAUCGAUUUCCUUUUCUUUCUUUACUUUUUAUAAUUUGAUUUUU